CUGGCUCAGGAUGAACGCUAGCGACAGGCUAACACAUGCAAGUCGAGGGGCGAGCACGGGAGUAGCAAUACAACUGGUGGCGACCGGCGCACGGGUGAGUAACGCGUAUGCAACCUACCUAUCAGAGGGGAAUAACCCGGCGAAAGUCGGACUAAUACCGCAUAAAACAGGGGCACCGCAUGGUGAUAUUUGUUAAAGAAAUUCGCUGAUAGAUGGGCAUGCGUUCCAUUAGGUAGUUGGUGAGGUAACGGCUCACCAAGCCGACGAUGGAUAGGGGAACUGAGAGGUUGGUCCCCCACACUGGUACUGAGACACGGACCAGACUCCUACGGGAGGCAGCAGUGAGGAAUAUUGGUCAAUGGGCGAGAGCCUGAACCAGCCAAGUCGCGUGAAGGAAGAAGGAUCUAUGGUUCGUAAACUUCUUUUGCAGGGGAAUAAAGUGCGGGACGUGUCCUGUUUUGUAUGUACCCUGAGAAUAAGGAUCGGCUAACUCCGUGCCAGCCGCUGC
rnacentral:rRNA from 1 species